rnacentral:rRNA from 1 species
GGUUAACGCUAGCGACGUGCCUAAGGUAUGCAAGUCGAACGGUGAACUUUUGGUAGUAAUACCGAAAGUUCAUAGUGGCAAACGGCUGAGUAACGCGUGGGAAUCUCCCCUUGAGUCUGAUAUAGCUCGCCGAAAGGCGGGGUAAUCUCAGAUAGUCUCGCAAGAGUAAAGAUUUUUCGCUCAAGGAUGAGCCCGCGUCCUAUCAGGUUGUUGGUGGGGUAAUGGCCUACCAAGCCUAUGACGGGUAGCUGGUCUGAGAGGAUGGCCAGCCAGACUGGGACUGCGAUACGGCCCAGACUCCUACGGGAGGCAGCAACUAGGAAUUAUGCGCAAUGGCCGAAAGGCUGACGCUGCGACGUCGCGUGGAGGAUGAAGGUCUUAGGAUCGUAAACUCCUUUUAUCUACGAACAAGUUCUGAGUGUAGUAGAUGAAUAAGUGCCUGCCAACCACGUGCCAGAAGCAUCGGUAAUACGUGGGACACAAGCGUUACCCGGAUUCACUGGGCGUAAAGAGAUGCGUAGGCGUCUAGAAAAGUUCUGUGUUAAAUCCCAAGGCUCACCCUUGGAACCGCAUAGAAAACUCUCUGGAUUGAGUCAUGUAGAGAAUAGGGGAAUUCCUGGUGGAGCGGUUAAAUGCGUUGAUAUCAGGAGGAACACCAAUGGCGAAAGCACCUAUUUGGACAUGUACUGACGCUAAGGCUCGAAAGUGUGGGGAGCAAAACGGAUUAGAUACCCGUGUAGUCCACACCGUAAACGAUCCCUGUUAGAUGUUCGAAAUUUGCUGAAAUUUCUCUUCGGAGAAGGAUAAGCACUUUUUGAGUGUCGCAGCUAACGCGUUAAACAGGGCGCCUGUGAAGUACGACCGCAAGGUUA